CGGAACGUGCCCAGUCGUGGGGGAUAACUACUCGAAAGAGUAGCUAAUACCGCAUACGAUCUGAGGAUGAAAGCGGGGGACCUUCGGGCCUCGCGCGAUUGGAGCGGCCGAUGGCAGAUUAGGUAGUUGGUGGGAUAAAAGCUUACCAAGCCGACGAUCUGUAGCUGGUCUGAGAGGACGACCAGCCACACUGGGACUGAGACACGGCCCAGACUCCUACGGGAGGCAGCAGUGGGGAAUUUUGGACAAUGGGCGAAAGCCUGAUCCAGCAAUGCCGCGUGCAGGAUGAAGGCCUUCGGGUUGUAAACUGCUUUUGUACGGAACGAAAAAGCUCCUUCUAAUACAGGGGGCCCAUGACGGUACCGUAAGAAUAAGCACCGGCUAACUACGUGCCAGCAGCCGCGGUAAUACGUAGGGUGCGAGCGUUAAUCGGAAUUACUGGGCGUAAAGCGUGCGCAGGCGGUUAUGUAAGACAGAUGUGAAAUCCCCGGCCUCAACCUGGGAACUGCAUUUGUGACUGCAUGGCUAGAGUACGGUAGAGGGGGAUGGAAUUCCGCGU
rnacentral:rRNA from 1 species